rnacentral:rRNA from 1 species
AGCCAUGCGAGUCAUUGUAGCAAUACAAGGCGGACGGCUCAGUAACACGUAGUCAACCUAACUCGUGGACGUGGAUAACCUCUGGAAACUGAGAAUAAACCACGAUAGAUCAUAGUGCCUGGAAUGGCUUAUGGUCCAAACAGUUUACUGCCAUGGGAUGGGACUGCGGCCUAUCAGCUUGUUGGUGAGGUAAUGGCCCACCAAGGCGAUUACAGGUACGGGCUCUGAGAGGAGAAGCCCGGAGAUGGGUACUGAGACACGGACCCAGGCCCUAUGGGGCGCAGCAGGCGAGAAACCUUAGCAAUGUGCGAAAGCACGACUGGGUCAGUCCGAGUGAUUCCUGAUAAAGGAGUCUUUUGCUUGUCCUAAAAGCACAGGUGAAUAAGGGGUGGGCAAGUCUGGUGUCAGCCGCCGCGGUAAUACCAGCACCUCGAGUGGUCAGGACGUUUAUUGGGCCUAAAGCAUCCGUAGCCGGCUUUGCAAGUCUUCGGUUAAAUCCACCUGCUCAACAGAUGGGCCGCUGGAGAUACUACAGAGCUAGGGAGUGGGAGAGGCAGACGGUAUUCAGUGGGUAGAGGUAAAAUCCUCUGAUCCAUUGAGGACCACCAGUGGCGAAGGCGGUCUGCCAGAACACGUUCGACGGUGAGGGAUGAAAGCUGGGGGAGCAAACCGGAUUAGAUACCCGGGUAGUCCCAGCUGUAAACGAUGCAAACUCGGUGAUGCAUUGGCUUAUGGCCAAUGCAGUGCCGCAGGGGAAGCCGUUAAGUUUGCCGCCUGGGAAGUACGGACGCAAGUCUGAAACUUAAAGGAAUUGGCGGGGGAGCACCACAAGGGGUGAAGCCUGCGGUUCAAUUGGAUUCAACGCCG